rnacentral:rRNA from 1 species
CCUACGGGAGGCAGCAGUGGGGGAUAUUGCACAAUGGGGGGAACCCUGAUGCAGCGACGCCGCGUGGGUGAAGAAGCGCCUCGGCGCGUAAAGCCCUGUCAGCAGGGAAGAAAAGGACGGUACCUGAAGAAGAAGCCCCGGCUAACUACGUGCCAGCAGCCGCGGUAAUACGGAGGGGGCAAGCGUUAGCCGGAUUUACUGGGGGUAAAGGGGGCGGAGACGGCGAUGCAAGCCAGGAGUGAAAGCCCGGGGCCCAACCCCGGGACUGCUGUUGGAACGGCGUGGCUGGAGUGCAGGAGGGGCCGGCGGCAUUCCUGGUGUCGCGGUGACUUGCGUAGAUAUCCUGCG